GGGUUGUGAGGUUAAGCGACUAAGCGUACACGGUGGAUGCCCUGGCAGUCAGAGGCGAUGAAGGACGUGCUAAUCUGCGAAAAGCGCCGGCGAGGUGAUAUGAACCUUUGACCCGGCGAUGUCCGAAUGGGGAAACCCAGUGCAAUCCGUUGCACUAUCGUUAACUGAAUACAUAGGUUAACGAGGCGAACCGGGGGAACUGAAACAUCUAAGUACCCCGAGGAAAAGAAAUCAACCGAGAUUCCCCCAGUAGCGGCGAGCGAACGGGGAGCAGCCCGGAGUCUGAAUCAGCUUGUGUGUUAGUGGAACGGUCUGGAAAGUCCGACGGUACAGGGUGAUAGUCCCGUACACGAAAGCACACAUGCUGUGAACUCGAAGAGUAGGGCGGGACACGUGGUAUCCUGUCUGAAUAUGGGGGGACCAUCCUCCAAGGCUAAAUACUCCUGACUGACCGAUAGUGAACCAGUACCGUGAGGGAAAGGCGAAAAGAACCCCGGCGAGGGGAGUGAAAAAGAACCUGAAACCGUGUACGUACAAGCAGUGGGAGCCUCUUUAUGGGGUGACUGCGUACCUUUUGUAUAAUGGGUCAGCGACUUAUAUUCUGUAGCAAGGUUAACCGUAUAGGGGAGCCGAAGGGAAACCGAGUCUUAACUGGGCGUUAAGUUGCAGGGUAUAGACCCGAAACCCGGUGAUCUAGCCAUGGGCAGGUUGAAGGUUGGGUAACACUAACUGGAGGACCGAACCGACUAAUGUUGAAAAAUUAGCGGAUGACCUGUGGCUGGGGGUGAAAGGCCAAUCAAACCGGGAGAUAGCUGGUUCUCCCCGAAAGCUAUUUAGGUAGCGCCUCGUGAACUCAUCUUCGGGGGUAGAGCACUGUUUCGGCUAGGGGGCCAUCCCGGCUUACCAACCCGAUGCAAACUACGAAUACCGAAGAAUGUUAUCACGGGAGACACACGGCGGGUGCUAACGUCCGUCGUGAAGAGGGAAACAACCCAGACCGCCAGCUAAGGUCCCAAAGUCAUGGUUAAGUGGGAAACGAUGUGGGAAGGCACAGACAGCCAGGAUGUUGGCUUAGAAGCAGCCAUCAUUUAAAGAAAGCGUAAUAGCUCACUGGUCGAGUCGGCCUGCGCGGAAGAUGUAACGGGGCUAAACCAUGCACCGAAGCUGCGGCAGCGACGCUUAGGCGUUGUUGGGUAGGGGAGCGUUCUGUAAGCCGUCGAAGGUGUCCUGUGAGGGGUGCUGGAGGUAUCAGAAGUGCGAAUGCUGACAUAAGUAACGAUAAAGCGGGUGAAAAGCCCGCUCGCCGGAAGACCAAGGGUUCCUGUCCAACGUUAAUCGGGGCAGGGUGAGUCGACCCCUAAGGCGAGGCCGAAAGGCGUAGUCGAUGGGAAACAGGUUAAUAUUCCUGUACUUGGUGUUACUGCGAAGGGGGGACGGAGAAGGCUAUGUCAGCCGGGCGACGGUUGUCCCGGUUUAAGCAUGUAGGCGGAGGUUCCAGGUAAAUCCGGUACCUUGUUAACGCUGAGGUGUGAUGACGAGGCACUACGGUGCUGAAGUGAUAAAUGCCCUGCUUCCAGGAAAAGCCUCUAAGCAUCAGGUAACACGAAAUCGUACCCCAAACCGACACAGGUGGUCAGGUAGAGAAUACCAAGGCGCUUGAGAGAACUCGGGUGAAGGAACUAGGCAAAAUGGUGCCGUAACUUCGGGAGAAGGCACGCUGAUAUGUAGGUGAAGUCCCUGCGGACGGAGCUGAAAUCAGUCGAAGAUACCAGCUGGCUGCAACUGUUUAUUAAAAACACAGCACUGUGCAAACACGAAAGUGGACGUAUACGGUGUGACGCCUGCCCGGUGCCGGAAGGUUAAUUGAUGGGGUUAGCGGCAACGCGAAGCUCUUGAUCGAAGCCCCGGUAAACGGCGGCCGUAACUAUAACGGUCCUAAGGUAGCGAAAUUCCUUGUCGGGUAAGUUCCGACCUGCACGAAUGGCGUAAUGAUGGCCAGGCUGUCUCCACCCGAGACUCAGUGAAAUUGAACUCGCUGUGAAGAUGCAGUGUACCCGCGGCAAGACGGAAAGACCCCGUGAACCUUUACUAUAGCUUGACACUGAACACUGGUCCUUGAUGUGUAGGAUAGGUGGGAGGCUUUGAAGCGUGGACGCCAGUCUGCGUGGAGCCAACCUUGAAAUACCACCCUUUAAUGGCUGGUGUUCUAACGUAGACCCGUAAUCCGGGUUGCGGACAGUGUCUGGUGGGUAGUUUGACUGGGGCGGUCUCCUCCCAAAGAGUAACGGAGGAGCACGAAGGUUGGCUAAUCCUGGUCGGACAUCAGGAGGUUAGUGCAAUGGCAUAAGCCAGCUUGACUGCGAGCGUGACGGCGCGAGCAGGUGCGAAAGCAGGUCAUAGUGAUCCGGUGGUUCUGAAUGGAAGGGCCAUCGCUCAACGGAUAAAAGGUACUCCGGGGAUAACAGGCUGAUACCGCCCAAGAGUUCAUAUCGACGGCGGUGUUUGGCACCUCGAUGUCGGCUCAUCACAUCCUGGGGCUGAAGUAGGUCCCAAGGGUAUGGCUGUUCGCCAUUUAAAGUGGUACGCGAGCUGGGUUUAGAACGUCGUGAGACAGUUCGGUCCCUAUCUGCCGUGGGCGCUGGAGAAUUGAGGGGGGCUGCUCCUAGUACGAGAGGACCGGAGUGGACGCAUCACUGGUGUUCGGGUUGUCAUGCCAAUGGCACUGCCCGGUAGCUAAAUGCGGAAGAGAUAAGUGCUGAAAGCAUCUAAGCACGAAACUUGCCCCGAGAUGAGUUCUCCCUGAGACUUUAAGUCUCCUGAAGGAACGUUGAAGACGACGACGUUGAUAGGUCGGGUGUGUAAGCGCAGCGAUGCGUUGAGCUAACCGAUACUAAUGAACCGUGAGGCUUAACCUUACAACGCCGAAGCUGUU
rnacentral:rRNA from 1 species